rnacentral:rRNA from 1 species
UACAGAGGGUGCGAGCGUUGUUCGGAAUUAUUAGGCGUAAAGGGCGCGUAGGCGGUGCGGUAAGUCACCUGUGAAAUCUCCUGGCUCAACUGGGAGCUUGCAGGCGAAACUGCCGUGCUGGAGUGUGGGAGAGGUGCGUGGAAUUCCCGGUGUAGCGGUGAAAUGCGCAGAUAUCAGGAGGAACACCAAUGGCGAAGGCAGCACUCUGGGACGUGACUGACGCUGAGACGCGAAAGCGUGGGGAGCAAACAGG